rnacentral:rRNA from 1 species
CAGGCCUAACACAUGCAAGUCGAACGAGAUCUUCGGAUCUAGUGGCGCACGGGUGCGUAACGCGUGGGAAUCUGCCCCUUGGUUCGGAAUAACUUCGGGAAACUGAAGCUAAUACCGGAUGAUGACGUAAGUCCAAAGAUUUAUCGCCCAAGGAUGAGCCCGCGUAGGAUUAGCUAGUUGGUGAGGUAAGAGCUCACCAAGGCGACGAUCCUUAGCUGGUCUGAGAGGAUGAUCAGCCACACUGGGACUGAGACACGGCCCAGACUCCUACGGGAGGCAGCAGUGGGGAAUAUUGGACAAUGGGCGAAAGCCUGAUCCAGCAAUGCCGCGUGAGUGAUGAAGGCCUUAGGGUUGUAAAGCUCUUUUACCNCGGGAUGAUAAUGACAGUACCGGGAGAAUAAGCUCCGGCUAACUCCGUGCCAGCAGCCGCGGUAAU